rfam:Acanthisitta chloris contig17103, whole genome shotgun sequence.
UCAGCUAUUACUUGCAGUAUCAGUUACUUAGCGUGUACACACAUGCCAAAGCGUUGGAUUGUUCACCCACUAAUAGGGAACGUGAGCUGGGAUUAGACCAUAGUGAGACAGGUU